AUGCGACUGUCACCUGGGAUGGCAACAUCAAUGAUCCAACCCUUUUUCUUUUCCACAACUGUGAUGUCUGGUGUGUUGUGUUCCAGAACUUUGUCAGUCUGGAUUCGGAUCCAGACUGACAAAGUUCUGGAACACAACACACCAGACAUCACAGUUGUGGAAAAGAAAAAGGUUUGGAUCAUUGAUGUUGCCAUCCCAGGUGACAGUCGCAUUGACGAAAAACAACAGGAAAAACUCAGCCGCUAUCAGGACCUCAAGAUUGAACUUCAAAGACUCUGACAGAAACUAGUGCAGGUGGUCCCGGUGGUGAUUGGCACAUUGGGUGCCAUGCCAAAAGAUCUCAGCCGGCAUUUGGAAACAAUAGACAUUGACAAAAUUACGAUCUGCCAACUGCAAAAGGCCACCCUACUGGGAUCUGUGCACAUCAUCCGAAAAUAGAUCACACAGUCCUAGACACUUGGGAAGUGUUCGACUUGUGAUUUUGUGAUACGAAAUCCAGAAUAUCUAUCUUGUUUGCUGUGCCAUACAAUAAUAAUAAUGACAUUUAUUUCUAACCCUCUUUGUCUCUCUAAAACAGUGGUUCCCAACCCGUGGGCCAUGGCCCAGCAGUGGGCUGCGAGAAUCUGGUCCAAGAACCUCCUCCUCUUUAUUUUAUUUUAUUUUAUUUCCACUCCUUUCUGCAGAGCUGACCAUUGCAUUGGAUAGACCACAUCAGCUCUAGAUUAUUAAAUAUGGUUUUCUGUGGGCAAGCAGAUGGCGACUACUGAAUGGCAUAUGUUCUGUAUCAGAAACUAGAGCUGAUGUGGUCUAUUGAGUUGACCAAUUUGUAAAUAGUAAAAAAAACAAAACACCAAGGUCAAACCCAUGAAUGUGGAGGGCUGGGUGUAUUCAGUUUUUUCCUCGGUUUGAAAUGAACUUUCCCCCUUCUGCACAGCCCAAUAUUGUCUGGCUCUGAACACUGCAGUUUGCAUUGUCUCUUGAAGGUGACUCAGAUCAAAAUAACUGAGGAAGUAGUUUCCUGUGUGGGGGGAAAAGAAAGAGAGAGAAAGAGAGAAGGAAAGAGAGAGAGGCUGCAUCUACACUGCAAUACAUUGCAGUUUGAGAAUGCAGAUUAACUGGAUUGAACUAGAUUAUAUGGCAGUGUAGACACAUAUAAUCCAGUUCAAUGCAGUUCAUUAUGCAUUAUAUGAGUUUACAGUGACCAUAUAAUGCAGUUCAGACUGGAUGGUUCCAGAGAGACUAACAUUGCACCAUGCAAUUCGGCAUCCUGAGCACAGAUCUGGGUCACCUUCUGAGUCAACCUUUAGAAGUCAUUUUAAAAGGUAACACAUGUCUCUUUAUACACAUUACCAAAUGCACUGUCUGGGGUAAAGAGAUGAGGCUUCCUCAAAUUGCAUCCAUUUAUGAUUACUUAAUUUAAUUCACCAUGUACCUUUGCAAAAAAGGAGUCUUUCCUUAAAGAACUGUCCUCAGUUCACUUUAGUAUGGAAUUUCUGCACACUUCAUAAUACCCUCCCAAGGGACAGAAUAACAAAGCAGCAAGGAAAUUUUGAACCAGUAUUCAAAUUGUCCUACAAGGUUUAUUUCAUUCUCUGAGCAGAUGCUGGCUGUGAGUGGGAAGACGUUUUGUUGAAAAGUAAUAUUUGAAAUAAACUUGGACACAUCUGAGUAUUCUCAUAUGCUCAGUGGGUUUUCAAUAAUUUAAUCUUAUUGAGCCAUUGUUUUUUUAAGGCAACACCCAUCAUUUUUAAACAUCUGCCACUUUCCUUUUGUCUGAAAGAAAAAUUAAAAUCUGGGCUAAAGGAAAUGUUUGGAGCUUCCCAAAUAUCUCCAGUGACUCAAGUAUCCUGUUUGGACAAAGAUCAAACCUAACAAGUCCAAAAGACCAACAAAACAGUAAUGCAGCACCCUCUCCAAAACAUCUUUGGGAUAUAUUUGUGAACCAGCUCCAUUACAUGAGUAAUUUUAGAAAUGUGGACUGUGGGAGAAAUCAGUCAACACAUUUCUGAAAGUAAAUUUAUUAUUGUAAUCAGACACAUAUACAAUCAACAUAUGAAUUAAAGCUAAAGAGGAAGUCACACGGGCACAAUCAUAUCUAGCAUUGCUCUUCAUUCUGGUCUUUCCUCCUUUUAGUCCACUUCUACUGGAUACAGUCAGGCAUGAUUUUUGCCUGCACUAUAUGUUACUGGAUCAUUCUAUAGAAUUACUCUCAGAGGAGGUUGCCCAUUUUUGUCUUUACAUGAGUCUGGACAAGUUUCCUUCCAAUCAAGAGUGCAGCAUUUAUCUGAAUGAAGCAGAGAGUGUUUGAGGAUCGGGACAUCCGUAGGGAUACCAAGGUGCUUGUUUAUAAAGCUACUAGCUGUGCCCGGCCACACGUUGCUGUGGCGAAGUAUGGCGAUAAGGGAAAUAAAGUAUUGAGGAAUUGGUGGUCGUUAAGGUAAAGGGUAAACGUUUUCUCCUGACGUUAAGUCCAGUCGUGUCUGACUCUGGGGGUUGGUGCUCAUCUCCAUUUCUAAGCCGAAGAGCCGGCGUUGUCCGUAGACUCCUCCAAGGUCAUGUGGGAUGACUGCAUGGAGUGGCGUUACCUUCCCACCAGAGCAGUACCUAUUGAUGCACUCACAUUUGCAUGUUUUCGAACUUCUGGGUUGGCAGAAGCUGGGGCUAACAGUGAGGGCUCACUCUGGUCCCCCAAUUCAAACCUGUGGCCUUUCGGUCCAGAAGUUCAGCAGCUCAGCGCUUUAACACGCUGCUCCAUCAGGGGAUAUUAUUUCCAAAAGGUUGUGAAUAUACAAUAUUUCUGAUUGUUUUGUUUUUUUUUUGUCUGUUGGAGGCAAGUAUGAAUGCUGCAAUUAGUGAAAAUGAUUAGGAUGUAAAUGGCCUUGGGAGCUUUAAAGCCUUGCUGCUUCCUCCCUGAGUGAAUUUUUUGUUGGGAGGUGUUAGCUGGCCCUGAUUGUUUCCUGUCUGGAAUUCCCUUGUUUUCAGAGUUGUGUUCUUUGCGAUAUUUUAUGUGCUUCUACUGUCUGUGGCCCUGAGAAAACAGAGGAUUUGCCAGACUUUGAUGAUGGGAAUACUUUGUUGGGAAGUGUUAGCUGGCCCUGAUUGUUUCCUGUGUGAAAUUCCCGUUUUCAGAGUGUUGUUCUUUAUUUAGUGUUCUGAUUUUAGAGAUUGUAUUGUUCUGUUUUAUUAUACCACAUUAAUUUUUAUAUAUUCUGAUUUUAGUGUUUUUGAAUACUUGGAGCCAGAUUGUAUUCAUUUUCACAGUUGACCGCAACACAAUAAUAAUAAUAAUAAUAAUAAUAAUAAUAAUAAUAAUAAUAAUAAUAAUAAUGACUUUGGUAAUACACAGUGCUUCACUCCCUUCUUAGCUUCCUUUCUGGAAGAAUCCUUUCUUGGGAGGUGUUAGCUGGCCCUGAUUGUUUCCUUUGUGGAAUUUCCAGUUUCCCUGGUCACCAGUGCUGCAGAAUUCGAAGAAGCACGAAUGGAGAGCGAAAGGGAGAAACAUACCAAGAGGAGGGCACAUCAAGCCAACCCUGACCGGGACCGCCUUCCACCUGGAAACUGAUGUCUUCACUGCAGAACAACAUGAGGGGCAAGAAUAGGUCUCCACAGCCUAGACACUACACUUGGAGGGCCAUCAUCCUCAGGCUACCAGGGAUCGCCUAAGUAAGUAAGCUUAGUAAAAAAAAAGUAUUUAACUGCUGCAAAAGACAAGCAUGGUUUUGGACCCCUCACACUUAGGAAUUUACAAUCCUGGAAACAUUACAUACUUUCCAAAGUUAUUUUAAUAAAUAAGUCUACUAUAACUGUUCUCAUUAAUCUCAGUAAGGAACAGUGAGUGACCUUCUCACCACUUCACAGUGGAUGUUUAGAUGACUGGGAUUUUGAUCAGUUUGUCCAAGUUUAAAUCUAAUCCUCCUCCUUGAAUAUUCUGUGUUUUUUGGAAGGAACAGCAGUUUCACAUUUUGCUACAAAAUAUUAAAUGUUGCUCCAUGUUUUUUCAUGUCCAAGGUUACUUUGUCAAGUUUUUCCGAUAUCCAUAGUAAGUUCACUGAUCCACCAAAAUACCACAAAUAGUGAUCAAGCCUUCUGAAUUCAUUGAUGUCUGUAUGACUGGUAAGAAAAUGGAUGGAAGAGAAACCUGAAUUCGAUUGGGAAUGAACCGAUUGUUGAAUGGCGAGUGAAUGCUUACAUAAACCCCAUUUAUUUGAUUGAGCAUCUGUAGCUGGGAGGAACAAUAGGCAACCCCACCCCUUUGAGGAAAACCUACCAAGAGGCCCUCAGGGUUGCCUCUUGGUCAGAAACAACUGGAAGGCAUAUGAAAACAAUGAAGAUUGGGAACCUGUUUCGUUGAACUAAACUUUAUUUUGUAGCAUGGAUAACUGUUCUUUUAUUAUUUGACUGCAACUGAAGGCAGUUUAUUACACUGAUAGAUUUAUACAAGCUGUUACAAGCUUGUAUACAAGAGUUACAAGCUGGGUCGAUGCUGGAAAUGCUGUAGAGGUAGAGUUAUCUGGAUUUCAGUAAGGCCUUUGACAAGGUCCCCCACGACCUUCUGGCAAACAAACUA
rnacentral:lncRNA from 1 species